rfam:Capsicum annuum cultivar Zunla-1 chromosome 9, whole genome shotgun sequence
UGAUAAUAAUGAUGACAAUUCAUGAGCAUACCCUUGAAUUUUUCCCAAGCUUGGUAAAUAUUCUCGCCAUCUUUCUAUCUAAAACAUAAAAUUUCACUUCUCAAAGA